rnacentral:rRNA from 1 species
CCUACGGGAGGCUGCAGUGAGGAAUAUUGGUCAAUGGCCGGAAGGCUGAACCAGCCAUGCCGCGUGAAGGUCAGUGCCCUAUGGGCGUUAAACUUCUUUUGUGCGGGAGCAAUAAUGGUCACGUGUGGCCAGACGAGAGUACCGUACGAAUAAGCAUCGGCUAAAUCCGUGCCAGCAGCCGCGGGCAUUCGGGGGAGGCAAGCGUUAUCCGGAUUUAUUGGGGUUAAAGGGUGCGUAGGCGGGGAGGUAAGUCAGCGGGGAAAUGCCACCGGUCAAAGGGGUGAAGUGCCAUUGAUAUUGCCUUGCUGGAAUGCGGAUGCCGUGGGAGGAAUGUGUGGUGUAGCGGUGAAAUGCAUAGAUAUCACACAGAACACCGAUUGCGAAGGCAUCUCACGAAUCCGCGAUUGACGCUGAUGCACGAAAGCGUGGGUAUCAAACAGGAUUAGAUACCCCGGUAGUC